GUAUUCUAAUGAGAUUUUUAAUUGAACUUUAUGGGUUCCCUUUGAGGACCACAGACCUCACAAUCAAUCUAAACUGCAGUAAACUAUUUGAAGUUUUUCUUGCAAAAGGGUGGAGGUUGAUGUCUAUUGAAGAGAACUGGAGGAAGGCACCAAGACAAGCCCUACACUUUUCUCCCCAGCAGCAGAAGGUUGCUUAGCAGUGGAAAUGGUGUAAUAUAAAAAGACAUGAUUUGAGGAGGCUGCAACUGGG